rnacentral:lncRNA from 1 species
GCUGCUGUGGCGGCGGCCGCCUGGCAGAGCGGGCGGGUCGAGGGAGGAGGGCGGCGACGGGCCAGCGGCUAGCGGCGCGGGACGCAGAGCCUUUGCACUUUUCCCUCCCGAGUGUCCCCUCCAUCCACCCCCCACACUCCACACACCCUGUUUGCCCGUGAGCCUGGGGAACUUGCAGCUUAAAGCCAGCCACCCCCACGGCAGCAUGUACCCCAGCAACAAGAAGAAAAAGGUGUGGAGAGAGGAGAAAGAACGUUUGCUGAAGAUGACCUUAGAGGAGAGACGCAAAGAAUACAUAAGGGACUAUGUUUCUCUGAGCACCAUUCUAUCAUGGAAGGAAGAGAUGAAGAGCAAAGGCCAAAGGAUGCAUCCCUAAUGGUUGGAGAAAUGGUGGAGAAUGUCAUGGGAGAGAGCACCUGCAGAUCCUUGCCUGAGACGGUUAUGGAAAGAAAGUCUUACAGCUUGGGCAAUAGGAAAAGAGGCCCUUUAUCUGAUCUUGUUUUCCAGUCCAUUUUGAAUCAAGAAAGACUCAUUGAAGACUCCUUGAGAAGAGUCUGUUUUGAAGAAGAAAAACAGACAAAAAAGGGUGGGCGAGAGAGUGAACUUCCUGAAGGCAAACAGACAAGAAGGGUGGGAGACACAUGCAGUUUUGUUGCGUGUCUAACUAACACUGACCUUCCUGGAGUCAACAUUGAGAACUGAGAAGGUAUUAAACUUAAAAAUGACUGAAUUUUGUGAGUUUUAAAGAAAAAUGCAGGUCUUCUAGUGUGGACAGGCAACUGGACUUCAGAUCUCAGACUAUGUCUCUCUACUGGCUGUAGCCAUCAGUCUUAAACAUCCAGCGCAGUACUUUGCCUUCAUGAAUGGUGGCAGCUGACUAUCUUUUCAGCAAAGCUUCCAAGAUGAAUAAAAUAGUGUCUGCCAAAACCUAAAACAUACAGUCUGUGUGUUUAUCACUAGACCUUUGUAAUGUAUUUCUCUUGCAUUUAAAAAUUUUAUGGUGCUUAACCUUAAUUGUGAUUUUUUUGUCAAUAAAUAACUU